GGAGGAUCCGAGCGUUAUCCGGAUUUAUUGGGUUUAAAGGGAGCGUAGGUGGACAGUUAAGUCAGUUGUGAAAGUUUGCGGCUCAACCGUAAAAUUGCAGUUGAUACUGGCUGUCUUGAGUACAGUAGAGGUGGGCGGAAUUCGUGGUGUAGCGGUGAAAUGCUUAGAUAUCACGAAGAACUCCGAUUGCGAAGGCAGCUCACUGGACUGCAACUGACACUGAUGCUCGAAAGUGUGGGUAUCAAACAGGAUUAGAUACCCUGGUAGUCCACACAGUAAACGAUGAAUACUCGCUGUUUGCGAUAUACAGUAAGCGGCCAAGCGAAAGCAUUAAGUAUUCCACCUGGGGAGUACGCCGGCAACGGUGAAACUCAAAGGA
rnacentral:rRNA from 1 species